CAUUACCUAGCGGCGGACGGGUGAGUAAUGCUUAGGAAUCUGCCUAUUAGUGGGGGACAACAUUCCGAAAGGAAUGCUAAUACCGCAUACGUCCUACGGGAGAAAGCAGGGGACCUUCGGGCCUUGCGCUAAUAGAUGAGCCUAAGUCGGAUUAGCUAGUUGGUGGGGUAAAGGCCUACCAAGGCGACGAUCUGUAGCGGGUCUGAGAGGAUGAUCCGCCACACUGGGACUGAGACACGGCCCAGACUCCUACGGGAGGCAGCAGUGGGGAAUAUUGGACGAUGGGGGGAACCCUGAUCCAGCCAUGCCGCGUGUGUGAAGAAGGCCUUUUGGUUGUAAAGCACUUUAAGCGAGGAGGAGGUUCCUAUAGAUAAUACCUAUAGAGAGUGGACGUUACUCGCAGAAUAAGCACCGGCUAACUCUGUGCCAGCAGCCGCGGUAAUACAGAGGGUGCAAGCGUUAAUCGGAUUUACUGGGCGUAAAGCGUAUGUAGGUGGUCUUUUAAGUCGGAUGUGAAAUCCCUGAGCUUAACUUAGGA
rnacentral:rRNA from 1 species